ensembl:lncRNA
GGGUUUAUGAAGGAGGACAAAGCAUGAGAAGACCCAUCUGAGCGUCUGCCAUCCCUAAGAGGAAUCCCACACAAGUUCAGGAAGUCCUCCCAUGCCACGCUGUUCUCUGAUCUUGUUCUUGCCAUGUAAGAAAACAUUUAUUUAUUUUUUCUUUUGGUCAAGCUUUACUGGUUCCCUGUCCUCUGCAGGAGAUGUCAGUACCCUCUGGUCUCUGUACCCACCACAUCAGAAAACUGGCUUCCACGUGGAGACUGCAGUCAGUGCUGACGUACUGCUCCUGCUCACAGAUGAACACAGACUUAGCUGGAAUGAAGACUGUCCUAUAAAGCAGCACAAGGCGACAUUCACUCUGGACUUGGUGUCAGAGAAGGAGCGUAGGCUCCAUGCCUAUUCUACUACCCAGCUAAAAGUAAAUACUGAAUGAAACAGAAGCCAGCCUAGACAAGCCUUAAAUCCAGAAACACCAACCUUGUGAUUAAAGAUGUAAAAUCUCUGAAAGCAAUUGUCUAUUUGGAUGCUUUUUCUGUGCUUGCAGCCAGGGCUUCCAUAACAGCUGAACCAUCCUCAAAUUCCAUGACAUAGGUUGAGUUGAUUACUUGGUUCAGACCAAAAUCUUUCGGGAAUGGGUUACUUUGCCUGGACCUGAAGAUACAAUAUACCUAUUUCACACUGCUUUCCAAGGGAAAAAAUAAUGCAGAGUUCAAAAGACAGAGUAAUAUUCUCCACUACAAUUUCUCACAAGGAAAUACUCACAGAAUUGUCUCUCUUCUUACUACUAACCCAGCAUUUUAACAUUAGAAGAAAUGCUGUGUGGCUGCCUCAUAGACCUGUAUCUAUUGUCAGCUCAAACAAACAAAGGCAAAAAACAGUAAUUAAGAUAUGUCUUUCUCUACAUUGUUUUUUACUUGCAGCCUAAUCUGAAUUAACAUCAGUUCUGAUUUCUGUUUACUCAUUCAUACAUUGCUACUGCUGACUUUUCUUACUCCGUUCUUUCACUUCUCAGCGUCAUUUGCUCCUGUGACUUUGAGGCCCCACAAGAAUUCAGACACCUUAUUACCUCAACUUUGCCCUCAGCAUCCAAUUAGCUAGCAUUUCUCCAAGGAACAGCUAAUUGCAAGUUCCUCUAAUCAAGAUGAGCUCUGUAAUUCCAAACAGCAGUUUGGGAGCAGAACUGCUAGCAGAGCAGAGUGACUGGCCGCUCCUUUGUCCAGUAUGAGCCUGGACCAAUCGUCCCAGAGUACUACAAACCUCUGUGAAGCAGAUAAGGACUCUGCUCAACUUUUGACCCUGAAUAAUUUCUCUUGCAAAGAGCUGAGAACUUCAAAUUUCCUCUCCAACACUGGACCCAAACUUCAGCACUAAUCUUAAUUUAACUGAAUCCUGCUGUGGGUGCUCAGUCUCCUUAAAAACUUGCUUCACUAAGGCACAUGCCUGUAAAGUGACACUACAGUAAAUACAGAAUGAGUUCAGAAGGUGUAAGGUUACAUUCAGUAAAAUAAGAGGGUGCUACAAAUGUUAUUAAGCACAAGUCAUGCAUUACCCUCCAAUCAAUGCAUUUUUCUCAUUUGAACUUGUUUUUAACACCAUAGUGAACAUGCUGUUUGCUUUCUUCCUUCUCUCCAUUCUUCUCUUAAGCAGUUUACUUGCUAACAUGCAGUGAACUCUAGUGAAAUUCCUG